ensembl:misc_RNA Metazoa_SRP Metazoan signal recognition particle RNA
GCCAGGCACAGUGGCAUGUGCCUGUAGUCCCAGCUACGAGGGAGGCUGAGGCUGGAGGAUCGCUUGAGCCCAGGAGUUCUGGGUUGUAGUGCGCUAUGCCCAUCAGGUGUCUGCACUAAGUUUGGCAUCAAUACGGUGACCUCGUGGGAAUGGGGGACCACCAAGUUGCCUAAUGAGGGGCGAACCAGCCCAGGUCAGAAACAGAACAGGUCAAAACUCCAGUGCUGAUCAGUAGCAGGAUUGCGCCUGUGAAUAGCCACUGCACUCCAGCCUGGGCAACAUAGCGAGCCCCCGUCUCUU